AUUUUCUGGAAACAGAGAAGUGCUUUAGCAAUAAAGGAACCCGGUGACAGGUGCUGCAUGGGCUGUCGUCAGCUCGUGUCGUGAGAUGUUGGGUUAAGUCCCGCAACGAGCGCAACCUCGCCUUAGUUGCCAGCAUUCAGUUGGGCACUCUAGAGGGACUGGCCGGUGUCAAACCGGAGGAAGGUGGGAUGACGUCAAGUCCUCAUGGCCUUAUGUCUAGGGCUACACACGUACUACAAUGGCCGGUACAAAGGGCAGCCACUCAGCGAUGAGGCGCUAAUCCCAUAAAGCCGGUCUCAGUCCGGAUCGCAGUCUGCAACUCGACUGCGUGAAGUUGGAAUCGCUAGUAAUCGUAGAUCAGCAUGCCUACGGUCCGAAUACGUUCCGGGCCUU
rnacentral:rRNA from 1 species